AUUUUAACUGCUCAACUACUUCUAAUAAUCUAAGUUCUACUUGCUUUGGCUUACUAUCUAUGAGAUCAGCAAACUCUUUUAUCUCUCUUUUGCUAGGAAACCUUUGAAUAUUAUUAUUAUUAUCUGAGAUGUAAUAUAGUUUAAAUUUUGUCUGAUUGUUUUUAUGGAAUUUUUCUGAAACUGCUCUAACAACUGGUUUAAC
rnacentral:lncRNA from 1 species